UCCACGCGAUUCUAGUUGGGUCGACUCUAAGGUAGGACUAGCCGGCCGUAAAAGUAACGGAGGAAAGGUAGGGAGUGACGUCAAAUCAUCAUGCCCCUUAUGACCUGGGCUACACACGUGCUACAAUGGGCGGUACAAAGGGUCGCGAACCCGCGAGGGGGAGCCAAUCCCAAAAAGCCGCUCUCAGUUCGGAUUGCAGGCUGCAACUCGCCUGCAUGAAGCCGGAAUCGCUAGUAAUCGCGGAUCAGCAUGCCGCGGUGAAUACGUUCCCGGGCCUU
rnacentral:rRNA from 1 species